rnacentral:rRNA from 1 species
CCUACGGGGUGCUGCAGUGGGGAAUAUUGGGCAAUGGGCGCAAGCCUGACCCAGCAACGCCGCGUGAAGGAAGAAGGCUUUCGGGUUGUAAACUUCUUUUCUCAGGGACGAAGCAAGUGACGGUACCUGCGGAAUAAGCCACGGCUAACUACGUGCCAGUAGCCGAGGUAAUACGUAGGUGGCAAGCGUUAUCCGGAUUUACUGGGUGUAAAGGGCGUGUAGGCGGGGACGCAAGUCAGAUGUGAAAACCACGGGCGCAACCUGUGGCCUGCAUUUGAAACUGUGUUUCUUGAGUACUGGAGAGGCAGACGGAAUUCCUAGUGUAGCGGUGAAAUGCGUAGAUAUUAGGAGGAACACCAGUGGCGAAGGCGGUCUGCUGGACAGCAACUGACGCUGAGGCGCGAAAGCGUGGGGAGCAAACAGGAUUAGAUACCCGAGUAGUC